rnacentral:ncRNA from 1 species
UUGGCUCCGGGGAAGUAUGUGCAAAGCUGAACUAAAGGAAUUGACGGAAGGGCACCACCAGAGUGGAGCCUGCGCUUAUUGACUCACACGGGAAAACUUACCAGGUCCGACAUAAGUGUGUAGACAGAUUGAUAGCUCUUUCUCGAAUCUAUGGGUGGUGGUGCAUGCCGUUCUUAGUUCGUGGAGUGAUUUGUCUGGUUAAUUCCGAUAACGAACGAGACUCAAAUAUAUUAAAUAGAUAUCUUCAGGAUUAUGGUGCUGAAGCUUAUGUAGCCUUCAUUCAUGGUGGCAGUAAAAUGUUUAUUGUGUUUGAAUGUGUUUAUGUAAGUGGAGCCGUACCUGUUGGUUUGUCCCAUUAUAAGGACACUAGCUUCUUAAAUGGACAAAUUGCGUCUAGCAAUAAUGAGAUUGAGCAAUAACAGGUCUGUGAUGCCCUUAGAUGUCCUGGGCUGCACGCGCGCUACAAUGAAAGUAUCAACGUGUAUUUCCUAGACCGAGAGGUCCGGGUAAACCGCUGAACCACUUUCAUGCUUGGGAUUGUGAACUGAAACUGUUCACAUGAACUUGGAAUUCCCAGUAAGUGUGAGUCAUUAACUCGCAUUGAUUACGUCCCUGCCCUUUGUACACACCGCCCGUCGCUACUACCGAUUGAAUUAUUUAGUGAGGUCUCCGGACGUGAUCACUGUGACGCCUUGCGUGUUACGGUUGUUUCGCAAAAGUUGACCGAACUUGAUUAUUUAGAGGAAGUAAAAGUCGUAACAAGGUUUCCGUAGGUGAACCUGCGGAAGGAUCAUUA